rnacentral:lncRNA from 1 species
GCCCCAUACAACAUCGCAGGUCUAACCAGGGCUCUAUAGAAUUUCCCCUUGAGUUUGUGUGGAACUUUCUUGUCACCCGGGACUCCUGAUGCAAGCCUCCACUUAGACCACCCCACUCCUAUAUGAUGAGUGACGUCCCCGUAAUCUCUCCGUCCCCCUGAAUCACAGACCCCAGAUAUCGGACACUGUCCCUCUUGGCGAUGGCCUGAGAACCAAUCAUCACGUCCCUGCCUACUUCGCUCGGCUCGGCGCUAAACUUGCACUCCAGGUACUCAGCAACCUUCAUUCUCUGAACAUGGGAGUUCUUCACGGGCCAGCACUCCGCCCCAUACAACAUCGCAGGUCUAACCAGGGCUCUAUAGAAUUUCCCCUUGAGUUUGUGUGGAACUUUCUUGUCACCCGGGACUCCUGAUGCAAGCCUCCACUUAGACCACCCCACUCCUAUAUGAUGAGUGACGUCCCCGUAAUCUCUCCGUCCCCCUGAAUCACAGACCCCAGAUAUCGGACACUGUCCCUCUUGGCGAUGGCCUGAGAACCAAUCAGCACAUCCCUGCCUACUUCGCUCGGCUCGGCACUAAACUUGCACUCCAGGUACUCUGUCUCAGAUCUGCUUAUUUUGAAACCUUUAGACUCGAGAUUCUGUCUCCAUACCUCUAACCUUUCAUUAACACCGACCCUCGUCUCAUCUAUCAAUACUAUGUCAUCAGCAAAUAGCAUACACCAAGGCACAUCCCCUUGAAUAUGUCGGGUUAGAGAAUCUAUCACUAA